rnacentral:lncRNA from 1 species
UUUUUUUUUUUUAAUUUAUUUUUUAAAAAUUAUGAAGGGGAAAAUAUUGCUUGAAUCCCAUGGAAGCAAGAAAUUUGUUACCAUAGUAGAAAACCAGAACAUUCGCUUCCUCAAGCCUUUUUAAUGGGAAUAUGGUUUGUGCUAGGACAAUGCCGAAAAGACAUAUUUCUGCUUUAAAAAUACAAAUACAGUCUGAAUUUAGAUGGAAAUUGGUUUAAAGUAGAAACAUGAGAGAAUAAAACAUUGAUCAUUCUGUGCAUGAUGGAACAAACUGCAAAACACUCUGUCAGUUUUGUUGUAUCUCAAAUGGGCUAUUCUAAAGUUAGCAUUCUAAAGAACUGAUACUGAGGAUUCAGAAUGCCCUGAAAUAGAGCAAUUUACCUUCAGGGUAGCUUUAACAGAGUUUCAGAGUGUAUCAUAUCUGUACUUCAUCUGAUAUUGAAAUUAACUUUUAUCUCGAAUUCACCAUAGGAUAUGCACUGUUUAUGAACAGAAUUAAGAUACUACUAUCAGACAGAAGUCAGUUUAGAUAAAGUUAAAAGCCAAUACCAAAAAUACCUCUUUAUCAGAAGUGGUAUCUUACGUGCUCUUGUGCUUUGCUUCCUGUCAGAUUUGCUUAGAGACAUGCCAUGUUUCUACAUCAUCUGAUGAAAUCUGUCAAUAAGCAGCACUUCUCAUGUUAUCAUUUGAAGUAUUUUGUAUAUGGCAUCUUCACAAAACUUCCAUUAUUAAUAUUAGUGUCCUCUUAAAGAUGAAAUAGAGAUAGAUUAUGUGAUGUGUUUAAAGUCAGGACUUCCUGUUAGAGAAGAAUAUAGAACUCCAUCCUUGAGUUUAAAAUGUAAAACCACUUUUCUUAUAAAUGAUGUGUUGGGUUUUUUUGGUUGCUUUUUUUUUUUUUUUUUUCUUGCCUUUAACUGCUAAUAUGAAGAUAUACCACAUAAUCCAGCUUUACAUCUGUGUCCCGUCAAUGUAAGAAUUUAAAGGUAAUCUCAGUAAAGAAAUUCUGAUUUCAUUUUUAUAACUGAGGGGAUGAGAGGAAGAUGAGGUAAAACAAUAAUUGCAUGUGUAUCAAACACCAGAAUGUCUUUGAAAAUUGUAGUGUCUUCUCUAGAUAGCCUUGGAGAUACUUCAUGAUCAUUAUAAUUGGGGAGUUUCUCUUAACAUCCUCAUAAGUAACCUGUAUUUGUAGCAAAGACAGAUCAGAAAAACUUCCCAACUAUAAGGGUAGUGAUACACUAAAAUAUGCUUCCCAUGGGAGUUGUUAAAUUUCCAUUAUAGAAGUUCUAAGAAGAGGUUUAUGAAACAUCUCAUAGGGAUGGACUGUAGAGAUGGGCUUCGGUGAUCCUUUGAAAUCCCUUCCAGAUCUACAUUUCUCUGAUGCUUUAUCUAAAAUACUUAGUAUCCACUAAGAGCCUUUUAGAAUAUUUAAGGACAUCGAUGAUGUUUGAUUUAUGUUAGUGAUGGGGAUAUAAAGUUAUAUUCUAAGUUUAACCAUAAAAACAGAUCCCGGAAAUACAAAAUAAAUUUUGAAAAAGAAAAAUGGCUGUAAUAAGUAUAUUUGGGCUUGGAUUUUGUUAAUGCUGUCUAGAUUCAUGAUAGAUUUUAUUUGUGCUGCUAAAAAUUUACUCUGGGUUCCUUGGUUUUAUUUUUAUGAAGAUGCCACCUGCUGUGGCAUCUUCAUAAAGGUAAGAGGACGUUAUUUAUGUCAAUGCAGAACAAAUUAAAACAAGGAGCCAAAGAAUCCGAGGCUCACUUUACUAUUCUUCUGGGAUGCACUGCCUUUCUUUCUAUAGAUUUUGGUAGAACUUUUGUGACUUGUGCUCGUAUCUUUAGUUGUCUCCUUGAAUUAGCUUACCAUAUCCAGAACAUAUCAAACUUGUACUUAAAAAUUAGAUUAUACGGAAAAUACAUUCAUAAAGCUCAUUUCAAACUUAAAGCUUUGUCCUCUCAAUGUGAAUAGCAGAAAUGUGACCUCCCCAUAAACUGUGAUUAAUUCACUUUUUAAAAUGUACAUUCAUUUCAGUUUCUUGCAGUGUGCCACAGUUAAGGUUAUUGCUCAAUUUCUGUGAAAGCUCUUCUCACUAAGUAUUGCAAACUUUAAAGGGGAUCUAAUCUAUUUCUAUUUUUCAUAUCCAGUUAUCUAUCGAUAUUAUUUUUCCCUGAAAGCUUAAAGAUAAUUCUCAAAACUCUUAUCAGAGGUGACAGCUUAAAAAUUGAAAGCCUUACCAGGAUUCCUUGAUUAGAUUGGAAUAUUGUUUCAAGCAGGACUUGGCUGCAGAAUACAAGUAUAGUUUAUGCUGUAAGCUUCAGUAAACAACAGUAUUCUUCAACACAGACUAGUAUCUUUGAUGGCUUUGGGAAGUUAGUUGUUGUGUCUUGGGUAGAUAGAGAAAGAAAAGGGACAAUUUUGGAGACUCAGCCAUAUUGUCCCAGGGAUGUACUUUCAUAUCUUCUCCAGUAAAUGGGAUAAGCUGCACAGGAGAGACUAUUCUGUUCACAAAUUAAUGAGGUUUUAAUUUUAGAGUAUGCCAAUAGACCAUGAAACUGCAAAACUUGUGCUUGAUGGUCUGAUAGCCGAAUUUUUGGAUGGUUGGUUUGGUGUACUUCCUAACAGUCUGUCCCAGAAAUUGAGAUUACGAAGAAGGUAACAGUGUAUUAGCUUCUUCAUUCUUAAGGACAAAGAUCCAUGAUAUUUCUAGAAUCAAAGAAAUUACAUGUGCUAUGGAAGGAAGUUUUCUUCUCCCAUCCUCCUGGCUGUGAAUCCUGGCUCUCAUCUGACCUUUCAGUGGCUAGCUCACCUCUUACCUACCAGAAUUGAUUAGUGCUGCAUUUAGCAUGCUGAAUUUGCUCAAUGCACGGUUGGUCAAAUGCCACCUGAGCCAGCAGAAAAGAAAAUACACAGCUAGGGCUGGUAGAAAGAGGUUGGCAUCAUUUCCUUUAUGGGUGGUCAGUGGGUUGGAUCAAGCCAUUACAGGCCAUUUUAAGCCACUGUGCCAAGUUUCAGACCUGUUCUUCACUCUUUUGUGAGACAGCAAAAGCAAAUUAAAGUUGGGGUUUUUUUACUCUUAACUAUUGCUCACCUAAUGGCCCUUGGUGCUUUGCAUUUAAUUUCUUUGUGUUUGGGUAAUUCUGACAACUAACUUCAGAAGUACUACAGCAGUCUGCAGUUUGUGCUUGUGGAAAAGAAGUAUUUCUUCAUCAAAAAUAUCCAAAGAGCAAAUCUUUCUACCAUAUGUAAACUUCUAGGUGACAGUCUUUAAAUUUGUGAUAUUAAACUCAAUGCAGUAAAUAACUUCCAGUAAAAAGACUUACUGCAACUAGUUGUUUUCUGGAAGAGGCUUGAAGAAGGAAAGAACAUCUCCCUUCCUUAAUGAAGACAGUGCUACUUGUAGAGAUGAUCUGGAAAAUGUUUAGGUGGACUCUUACAAGCUCUACUAUUCUUUUGUUACUAGGUGCCUCCCAGACUGACUUUUCUCAUUUAGCUUUCAUUAAGUAUAUGAACAGCUGUAAGAGCAUCACUAACAGUCAUGUGUAGGCUUCCACCUAAACACAACUUUGUAUCUCUGCUGUAAUGCCUUGCAAAGUCACAUCAACCUGACACCUUUGUUCUUGAUAAGAUGUGUGAUUUGGAUGAAGCUGUGAAUCAGAAGUGAAGUAUCCAUUAAGAUGAAGCAUGAAUUCCUUCACAUGCUUAAAACUUGGAGAACCUUCUUAAUACCAAAUCACACAAAUGUAUUCACUCUCUGGUUCCACAGCCAUCUCCUUUGCACUUUUACAUUUAACCAGAAGAGAUGCCCACACUUUUUAUUUUUCAUUUCAAGUCACAUGUAGAAAUAUGAUUCCUGCUUCGUAGUUUCCUAUAUGCAGAAUAACAUUGUAUCUGUAAAUGUGUUUAUAGAGAAUGUUAUGUAGUUAAGGUUGAGUUUUUAGUCAGAACGGUAAGUUAACUGGUUACGUGUUGUGUUUGGGUACAUAUUGGAAGUGCAAGGGAAUUUGGUGUGGUGCAGAAAAGCUUAAGAGUUCACAACAGUAAUUAAUGCAGGUGUCAGUUAACUUGUGAUGCCAAGAUGAAUAUAGAGUAUGAUUUUAUACCCAGGUUUUCUGCUGUCAACUUACAGUUUACCAGAUGUGGUGGUUUUACUUACUCUAAGACUGGGUAAUGCCUCCCUAGCACAGUUUUGCAACUUACCUGUCUUAGAAAAUUUCCACAUAGUUACAGGCUUAUGUAUUUUACAAAAUUCUACCACUUCAAGAUUUCAGGAAAUUAUUCCAAUUUGCUGUUUGUGAAAGCAUCCUUUGCUUGAGUGGCUGUGGAAUUGCAAUUGGGGUAUCAGGAAGACAUAGAGGGAGCUUGUUCACUCAGUAGAAUGCAUUUCUGUUCAGACCUCAAGCCAUACAUGCAAGCAGUAUCUCUAAUGUCCUACUCUUUGGUGGGAUUUAACAUGCAUAAAGCUUGUGCUGGUUCUUUGCAAGUACUUAAAUUGUCAUUCUCUAAGAUCAGAUGCAUUUUCCCACCUGUAAAUGUUGUUUCUCUUGAACAAACUCAGCCCACAAUUAUCUUUCCUUCAGUUUCGUUGUUCGCUUCUGCCUGAGAUGCAUUACUGUUUAUAUCCUAACUCUGUAAUUAAUUAUUUCUUCAACUAUUCUAAUGUAUUUUGUUUCACAGUAUACUUAUUCUGGAUUUAGUCUUGCUAUGCAUAAUUUAUUACUUGCAGUGUUAUAUAAAAUUUCCUCCUGAUUGCACCUUGUCAGAGUGGAAUUGUUUUAUUGGCUGCUACUGAAAGUUUGAUGUCUGUUUGUGUAUUAGAAAUACAAUUUCACUUAAAAAGGAAGUUGCUGUUAAGACACUUCAGCAACGAUUCAGUGUAUCAGAACAAAUGCUCUAAAAAUCUGUGCAGUUUCAUUUUGGUGGUGGUCACAUUUUCAGAUAAGUACAAAGCUCAGGGAUGUGGUCCACAAGUAGAACAUCCUGUUUCCAUGUUUCAUGUUAGAGCAAACUGCAAACUGUGUCCCAACACAGUCCAGUUCCAAAAUCUGUUACUUACAAGAGGUUCACAAGAAGGCUUAUUUCGUUAUGACUCAUAAGCACAGCUGACUGAGUCAAUUCCAAAGUCUGUCUUUUCCAUAAUGAAUACAUUCUUUAGUCCCUAAGUAGAGGCUACUUAGGGACCUAGAUUGAUUAAUUCCCAACACACACAAACAUGUAUUUAUAUAUACGUGCAUAUUUUGCACUCAUGUUCACUUUAGGCUUUGACGCAGCUAGAAGCAUUUAAACUGAGAAAAAACAAACAAACAAAAAAAAAAAAAAAAA